rnacentral:rRNA from 1 species
CACGUAGGGCGCGAGCGUUGUCAGGAAUUAUUGGGCGUAAAGAGCUCGUAGGCGGCCUGUUGCGUCCGCUGUGAAAGCCCGGGGCUUAACCCCGGGUCGGCAGUGGAUACGGGCAGGCUAGAGGUAGGUAGGGGAGAAUGGAAUUCCCGGUGUAGCGGUGAAAUGCGCAGAUAUCGGGAGGAACACCGGUGGCGAAGGCGGUUCUCUGGGCCUUACCUGACGCUGAGGAGCGAAAGCGUGGGGAGCGAACAGG